GGCGAACGCUGGCGGCGUGCCUAAUACAUGCAAGUAGAACGCUGAAGAGAGGAGCUUGCUCUUCUUGGAUGAGUUGCGAACGGGUGAGUAACGCGUAGGUAACCUGCCUUGUAGCGGGGGAUAACUAUUGGAAACGAUAGCUAAUACCGCAUAACAAUGGAUGACCCAUGUCAUUUAUUUGAAAGGGGCAAAUGCUCCACUACAAGAUGGACCUGCGUUGUAUUAGCUAGUAGGUGAGGUAACGGCUCACCUAGGCGACGAUACAUAGCCGACCUGAGAGGGUGAUCGGCCACACUGGGACUGAGACACGGCCCAGACUCCUACGGGAGGCAGCAGUAGGGAAUCUUCGGCAAUGGGGGCAACCCUGACCGAGCAACGCCGCGUGAGUGAAGAAGGUUUUCGGAUCGUAAAGCUCUGUUGUAAGUCAAGAACGAGUGUGAGAGUGGAAAGUUCACACUGUGACGGUAGCUUACCAGAAAGGGACGGCUAACUACGUG
rnacentral:rRNA from 1 species